AUGGGACCCACAGGCCGGUCUCGAGCCGUCUUGCUUCUGCUCCUCGCCGCCGCCGCCGCCGCCGCGCCGGAGCACGAAUCCUUGCUCCGCCUCCCCUCCUCGGCGCGUUCCCUCGCCCCGAAGACCCCCCGCUCCGCCGGCGCCGACCUCAUCCGCGCCCUCAACCUCCACCCCCGCGACGCCUCCCCCCGCCGCCCCGUCGGCGUCGGCGGCAGCGAUGCUCUCCCGGCCGGAACCCUCGUCGAGAGGCCGAUCCGCCUCGCGUCUCUGGUGGCCGGAGACGACGGCGGCGGCGGCACGUCGGUGAGCAACCUCGGGCACCACGCCGGGUACUACCGCCUCCCCACCACUCACGACGCCAGGCUCUUCUACUUCUUCUUCGAAUCCAGGCGGCACAAGGAGGACCCCGUGGUGAUCUGGCUGACGGGAGGGCCCGGCUGCAGCAGCGAGCUAGCCCUCUUCUACGAGAAUGGCCCCUUCAACAUAGCGGACAACAUGUCGCUGCUCUGGAAUGAGUUUGGCUGGGAUCAGGAGUCGAAUCUUAUCUAUGUUGAUCAGCCAACUGGGACUGGGUUCAGCUACAGCUCUGAUUCGCGUGAUACCCGCCAUAACGAAGCGACCGUCAGCAACGACCUAUAUGACUUCCUGCAGGCCUUCUUCAAGGAGCACCCGGAGUAUGUUGAAAACGAUUUCUAUAUAACUGGGGAGUCAUAUGCUGGGCACUACAUUCCUGCCUUUGCAACUAGGGUGUACAAGGGGAACAAGAACAAUGAGGGCAUUCACAUCAAUUUGAAGGGUUUUGCAAUUGGCAAUGGACUUACAGAUCCAGCGAUACAGUAUAAGGCAUACACCGAUUAUGCAUUGGAUAUGGGUUUGAUCACACAAUCAGAAUUUAACAAGAUCAAUAAAAUAGUUCCUGCUUGUGAAUUUGCUGUCAAGCUUUGUGGUACCUCUGGCACUGUAUCUUGCCUUGCUGCCUAUUUUGUUUGCAACACAAUAUUCAGUUCCAUCCGCUUGAUAAUCGGGAGCAAAAAUUAUUAUGACAUCAGGAAGCCAUGUGUGGGGAGCCUAUGCUAUGAUUUCUCUAAUUUGGAGAAGUUUCUCAACCUGAAAUCUGUCAGACAGAGCCUAGGAGUUGGAGACAUAGAGUUUGUUUCAUGCAGCCCGACUGUCUAUCAGGCUAUGCUCUUAGAUUGGAUGAGGAACCUUGAAGUUGGGAUCCCUGAACUCCUUGAGAACGACAUCAAAGUGCUGAUUUAUGCUGGAGAGUAUGAUCUCAUAUGCAACUGGCUAGGGAACUCAAGAUGGGUAGACUCUAUGGAAUGGUCUGGAAAGAAAGCCUUCGUGUCCUCAACUGAGAAGCCCUUCAUGGUUGAUGGGAAAGAAGCCGGCGUUCUAAAAAGCCACGGCCCAUUGAGUUUCUUGAAGGUCCAUGAUUCUGGCCACAUGGUACCCAUGGAUCAACCGAAGGCCGCCUUGGAGAUGCUCAAGAGGUGGACUUCAGGAAACCUCUCAGAUGACUCCUUGGGCUCUCAGAGGCUUGACUUCGCCAUAUAA
rnacentral:rRNA from 1 species